AGCUUUGCGCAGUGGCAGUCUCAUAGCCAAUGAGGUUUAUCCAAGGCACGAUUACUGCUAAUUAAAAACAAAAUCAUCACACA
ensembl:snRNA U4 U4 spliceosomal RNA